UAGGAUUCGUGACUGGGGUGAAGUCGUAACAAGGUAGCCGUAUCGGAAGGUGCGGCUGGAUCACCUCCUUUCUAGA
rnacentral:rRNA from 3 species